rnacentral:lncRNA from 1 species
CUCAAUAGGGGAGGAGCCCAACUGUCCUUAAAAAUCUCGCUGCAUGCCUGUAAUUCUAGCUACUUUGGAGAUUGAGGCAGGAGGAUGGUGAGUUUGAGGCUCCAUCUCAAACCCUCCAAAAUAUAGGGGGGAAUAACGUCUCACCAUUUGCCUACCUCCCCGUUAGAGUGGGACAUAUCUUGGAAAGGAUGAUGGCACAGUCCUAUAAGCCUAGCACUGGGAGGCUGAGGCAGGAGGAUCGAGUUUGAGGUCAUCCUGGGAAAUUUAGCAAUUUAGUGAGACUCUUCCUCAAAAGAUAAGAAAGGGCUGGGGACAUAGCUGCACAACACAAAGGCCCUGGGUUCAAUCUUAGUACUACAAAAAAGAAAAAAGUUUGGGGAAUCAGGUGUGAAGAUGUAUGCUUGUAAUCUCAGCUACUUGUACCCUGAGGCAGGAGGAUUGGAAGUUGGAGGCAAUUUAGCAAACUUGUCUCAAAAGUUUUUUAAAAGGAAGGGAGGCUUAGGAUGUACUUCAGCGCUCAGCGUGGGGGACCUGGGCUAGGGAUUCCUGUUCAGCAAGCCACAGCAUUGGGCCCAAAUGGAGGAACCUGGCCACCUGGCCACCUUUCACCCAAUCUGUGUCCUUUGUCCCGGCCUGGUUUCUCAGCUGCCCCCCAUCCUGCACCUGGGGCCACCUGCAGGCCAGGGUAAGGGACAUGAUCCUUAGGCUGAGGCAGUAAGAUUGCCUGGAGUUCAAGGCCUGAAUUACAUAGCGAGACCUUGAGACCCCCCUCAAAUGCUGGUGAGCCCUGGAGGUGGGCACAGUUGGUUCUUGCUGCCCAGGGUGACCUCUGAAGAGCUGCUGUGCCACAGCCCAUGACCCUUCACAGUCCCACAGCAGAGGCUGUCCGCAGAGGCCUGUGGGUGUUUGAGGACAGGUAGGCCAAUCCUUGUGUGUGACCUGCCCACAGGGCACAAAGCAGGCCUCAGUGGUGCCCAUGAUCAGGGGUUUCUGUCCCCCUGGAAGGACAGUUCUGCUGGACAUCGAGUAGCCACAUGGUCCCUGUCAUUCAGUAAUGGAUGCUGGAGGUUUGUUCAGCCUUUGUUCUGUUACGCUUCGUCUAUACAGAGCAUAAUAGGGCCUCCUUGUGCGCAGGUAUUGGGCAGAACCUUGGUGGAAGGGCCCCAGGGCAAGAUGUCUUUAACAUUUUGAUAAAUUUUGAUCAAAGGCAACAAGAAGGCAGUGCAUUGGCACAGGUCUGUAAUCCCAACUAUUCAGAAGGCUGGGGCAGGAGGAUUCCAAGUUCAAGGCCAGCCUGAGCUAUAUAGCAAGACCUUGUCUCAAAACCAAAAAGUAGAUUGCAGAAAGAACUUAGGCACUGAUGUGGAUGUGAGCUGCUGAUGUUGUAACUGAUCUGUUAUUAAAUUACUCUAGCCCAGGCUCAUGUUUCAUAUUUAAAUUUUUUU